CUGGCAACUCCGCCUGUAGCUCUCCUAGAGAUACUGCCGGUCCCAAGCCCGGAUAAAAGGAGGAGGGUUGG
rnacentral:ribozyme from 2 species